GAAGAGACGGUGCACUGAAGUUCGAGCCUUGCCCAAGAUCCCAGGACAACCAAACUGGCCCGUCCAUCCAGCCGCACAGCACACCUGACGCCUGUUCCCUGCUCCUGGACUUGCAGGAGCUGGCCCGAUUUAGGUGAUGGAGAGGAACAUGGAUGUGUAGCCAGCCUGAGGGGAUGCUAGAACCUUCUGUUGACCCCUACCAGCCUGUGUGAUCAUGGCUCUCAUUGAGCUCUCUUGGACACUGGAAGUCAGCUGGAUCAUGAAGGACAAGUGGAUGUGGACCCGCUGGGCUGUGGGCAAAGUGAAGGACCCUCGCAGUGACUGAGAACUGAUGCCCAGGCCCAGGCUCUGAAUCCGGAGAGGCAAGACCCGUGUGUGGCCCUCUAGUUCUACGCUCUCAUGAUGGAGAAUUCUGCGGUCAUUCUCAUGGAGACAGGCAGACCGGGGUCCACUUGGAAACAAAGAGCCAGCUGCAGCUGGGAGAAGACGUGUGCUGUGGGGCCCGCCCUUGCAGAGAUGGCAAAUGGAGGUGAAAAAGGCCAGCUCACCUUCUCCUGCGCGAGAAGGUUCUAGCAGAUGUUGCGGCUGUAACAAUUGAGAUCAGUGACUUGGAGCUGAAACCUGAUUCACAGGGUGAAGGGGGAGCCCUUGGAGCAGCAGCCCACCUACCCUCGUCCUCAGCAGCAAUUAGGAACCAUGACGGAAACAGAAAGCAGAGGCGAACAAUGUAUGUCACAAGGAAAUAAGAACAUUGCACAACUAGAAUAAAUAAUAAUAUUUUUUUUCUGGCUUUAAUGAA
ensembl:lncRNA